GAUGAACGCUAGCUACAGGCUUAACACAUGCAAGUCGAGGGGAAACGAGAUCGAAAGCUUGCUUUUGAUGGGCGUCGACCGGCGCACGGGUGAGUAACGCGUAUCCAACCUGCCCACCACUUGGGGAUAACCUUGCGAAAGUAAGACUAAUACCCAAUGAUAUCUCUAGAAGACAUCUGAAAGAGAUUAAAGAUUUAUCGGUGAUGGAUGGGGAUGCGUCUGAUUAGCUUGUUGGCGGGGUAACGGCCCACCAAGGCAACGAUCAGUAGGGGUUCUGAGAGGAAGGUCCCCCACAUUGGAACUGAGACACGGUCCAAACUCCUACGGGAGGCAGCAGUGAGGAAUAUUGGUCAAUGGACGAGAGUCUGAACCAGCCAAGUAGCGUGCAGGAAGACGGCCCUAUGGGUUGUAAACUGCUUUUAUAAGGGAAUAAAGUGAGUCUCGUGAGACUUUUUGCAUGUACCUUAUGAAUAAGGACCGGCUAAUUCCGUGCCAGCAGCCGCGGUAAUACGGAAGGUCCGGGCGUUAUCCGGAUUUAUUGGGUUUAAAGGGAGCGUAGGCCGGAGAUUAAGCGUGUUGUGAAAUGUAGAUGCUCAACAUCUGAACUGCAGCGCGAACUGGUUUCCUUGAGUACGCACAAAGUGGGCGGAAUUCGUGGUGUAGCGGUGAAAUGCUUAGAUAUCACGAAGAACUCCGAUUGCGAAGGCAGCUCACUGGAGCGCAACUGACGCUGAAGCUCGAAAGUGCGGGUAUCGAACAGGAUUAGAUACCCUGGUAGUCCGCACGGUAAACGAUAGAUGCCCGCUGUUGGUCUGAAUAGGUCAGCGGCCAAGCGAAAGCAUAA
rnacentral:rRNA from 1 species